rnacentral:sRNA from 1 species
GAGAUAUUCAGAGGUCUUUUAGGAUGCGCUAAAGGGUCGUGAGGGCUCUCUUAAAAUUUUCUUCACAAGCGGUUAUCCAGUCGUGCCCCGCGGCCCUGCCGCUGGCCCCGGGGAUCUGAGUCGUACCCUCUUGUUUUUCUCUGAGUCAGUCUUAAGGUGAAAUGAAGUGUGGCCCAGUGGCUCCUCACUGUCGCUUCCCUAGUUUUCUGCCUCCUUUUAGAAAAUUGAAUUGAAAAGACAGGAUGAAGUGGACACAGCAUGUGAAGACAAUUCUUUCAAGAAGUUUGGCUGUCAAGGAAAAUAGAGAAUGUGAGUAGCCAAAGCAGAAUGACAGUGAAAGAAAGAAAUUGGGAGCCAGACAAUACGGCCCGACAGUUUACGCCUGUACGGAUGUCCCACCUCUUUCACAAAAGAUUGAGUAUGCUUGGGGAAAAAAAAUACACACUAUAAUAGGAGAAAAUGAUGAAGAGAAACUGAGGUAAAGGUAAUUGGAAAAUAAAAUAAAGCCAGGGGUAUAUUAAUACCCCAAAACUUCAUACCAAAAGGUCCGUGUAUUUACUAGAGGGGUGCCACAAAUUGGGCUCUGAGGUUCCUAGCAACUAAACCAAAGGGAAAAUAUAAGUUUAACAUGAUCCGUAUGAGGGAGGAGGCCUAAUGGCAUAUUAUAGAAUCCUGUUACACAUUAGCUGUAUGAAAUUGAUUGGGUAA